UUUAAUCAUUUAAAAAGUAGGCCAAAGAGACUUAUCUCAACCAUACUGCUAAAUAGUUAUGAGCUGCAUCAUACAUAAAUUAAGUGUGCUCUAACUGGGGGUAUGGAUAGACUCUUUCUUUAGUCAAUUAAGUGUUUACAGUAUUAGUAUCUACUUUAGUUAGUUAGAGUAAAGGAAUUAAAGAGACCAUUUUUAUGCAAUUGUACAAGUAUAAGAGACACUGUUCAGUUUUAAAAUGUAGAUAAGAGAUAACGGUGUCUCAACAUUUAAAAACUGAACAGUGUCUCUUAUCAACAUUUUUAAAUUGUUCAAAUAUAGG
rnacentral:lncRNA from 10 species